rnacentral:rRNA from 1 species
GACGAACGCUGGCGGCGUGCUUAACACAUGCAAGUCGAACGAUGAAGCCGGAGCUUGCUCUGGUGAAUUAGUGGCGAACGGGUGAGUAACACGUGAGUAACCUGCCCUUGACUCUGGGAUAACUGCGGGAAACUGUAGCUAAUACCGGAUACGACCCUCGGAGGCAUCUCCUGGGGGUGGAAAGAAUUUCGGUCAAGGAUGGACUCGCGGCCUAUCAGCUAGUUGGUGAGGUAAAGGCUCACCAAGGCGACGACGGGUAGCCGGCCUGAGAGGGUGACCGGCCACACGGGGACUGAGGCACGGCGCAGACUGCUACGGGAGACAGCAGUGGGGAAUAUUGCGCAAUGGGCGCAAGCCUGAUGCAGCAACGCCGCGUGAGGGAUGACGGCCUUCGGGUUGUAAACCUCUUUUAGCAGGGAAGAAGCGAAAGUGACGGUACCUGCAGAAAAAGCACCGGCUAACUACGUGCCAGCCGCCGCGGUAA